GAUGUUUGUCCUGGUGGUAAGCUGUGCUCAUUCCUCAGUUAUCAGCAUUGCAGAGAAAGUUUAAAUCUGGUAAGAGACAAAACUUACCUCAUCAUGGGAUCAUCUAAAGACAUCCACAGAGAUGACCAGACGCAAACGUUUCAGUAUGUGCUCGGGGAGAGGACCUGGAUUAAGUACUGGCCCACAGAAGCAGAGUGCCAGCUUGAUGAACAUCGUCCUACUUGAAUGGGCAUGGAGGAGAUGGUCGAUCAGUACACCAAUUUUGCCUGUCAGCAUUAACUGAACUCAA